GCCGGGUGUGGUGGUGCACGCCUGUAAUCCCAGCUACUCAGGAGGCUGAGGCAGAAGAAUCACUUGAACCCGGGAGAUGGAGGCUGCAGUGAGCAGAGGUCGCACCACUGCACUCCAGCCUGGGCAACAGAGUGAGACUCCGUCUCAA
ensembl:misc_RNA Metazoa_SRP Metazoan signal recognition particle RNA